rnacentral:rRNA from 1 species
GAUGAACGCUGGCGGCGUGCCUAAUACAUGCAAGUCGAGCGAACGGAUUGAGAGCUUGCUCUUAUGAAGUUAGCGGCGGACGGGUGAGUAACACGUGGGUAACCUGCCCAUAAGACUAGGAUAACUCCGGGAAACCGGGGCUAAUACCGGAUAACAUUUUGAACCGCAUGGUUCGAAAUGGAAAGGCGGCUUCGGCUGUCACUUAUGGAUGGACCCGCGUCGCAUUAGCUAGUUGGUGAGGUAACGGCUCACCAAGGCAACGAUGCGUAGCCGACCUGAGAGGGUGAUCGGCCACACUGGGACUGAGACACGGCCCAGACUCCUGCGGGAGGCAGCAGUAGGGAAUCUUCCGCAAUGGACGAAAGUCUGACGGAGCAACGCCGCGUGAGUGAUGAAGGCUUUCGGGUCGUAAAACUCUGUUGUUAGGGAAGAACAAGUGCUAGUUGAAUAAGCUGGCACCUUGACGGUACCUAACCAGAAAGCCACGGCUAACUACGUGCCAGCCGCCGCCGUAA